rnacentral:rRNA from 1 species
UACGUAGGGUGCAAGCGCUAAUCGGAAUUACUGGGCGUAAAGCGUGCGCAGGCGGCUUUGCAAGACAGAUGUGAAAUCCCUCGGCUCAACCGAGGAACUGCGCUUCAUACUGCAUGGCUUGAGGGAGACAGGGGUAAGCGGAACUGAUGGUGGAGCGGUGAAAUGCGUUGAUAUCAUCAGGAACACCGGUGGCGAAAGCGGCUUACUGGGUCUCUUCUGACGCUGAGGUACGAAAGCUAGGGUAGCGAACGGG